rnacentral:rRNA from 1 species
UGCUGUGAAACUGGGGGCUCAACCCCCAGCCUGCAGUGGGUACGGGCAGACUAGAGUGCGGUAGGGGAGAUUGGAAUUCCUGGUGUAGCGGUGGAAUGCGCAGAUAUCAGGAGGAACACCGAUGGCGAAGGCAGAUCUCUGGGCCGAACUGACGCUGAGGAGCGAAAGGGUGGGGAGCAAACAGGCUUAGAUACCCUGGUAGUCCACCCCGUAAACGUUGGGAACUAGUUGUGGGGCCGUGACGCAGCUAACGCAUUAAGUUCCCCGCCUGGGGAGUACGGCCGCAAGGCUAAAACUCAAAGGAAUUGACGGGGACCCGCACAAGCGGCGGAGCAUGCGGAUUAAUUCGAUGCAACGCGAAGAACCUUACCAAGGCUUGACAUACAGGUGGUGCAUGGUUGUCGUCAGCUCGUGUCGUGAGAUGUUGGGUUAAGUCCCGCAACGAGCGCAACCCUCGUUCUAUGUUGCAACUCAUGGGAUACUGCCGGGGUCAACUCGGAGGAAGGUGGGGAUGACGUCAAAUCAUCAUGCCCUUAUGUCUUGGGCUUCACGCAUGCUACAAUGGCCGGUACAAAGGGCUGCAAUACCGUAAGGUGGAGCGAAUCCCAAAAAGCCGGUCCCAGUUCGGAUUGAGGUCUGCAACUCGACCUCAUGAAGUCGGAGUCGCUAGUAAUCGCAGAUCAGC